rnacentral:ncRNA from 2 species
AAUUUCACAAAGGAGUGCUUCUGGCUGAGAUCGCAUUAUGCGAAAUCCUGAUAACCUGAUCUCGUUAGUACGAGCGUAGGGAUUGUGACAUGACUUUUU